AUACGUAGGGGGCAAGCGUUAUCCGGAUUUACUGGGUGUAAAGGGAGCGUAGACGGCGAAGCAAGUCUGAAGUGAAAGGACGGGGCCCAACCCCGGAACUGCUUUGGAAACUGUUUGGCUGGAGUGCGGGCGGGGUAAGCGGAAUUCCUAGUGUAGCGGUGAAAUGCGUAGAUAUUAGGAGGAACACCGGUGGCGAAGGCGGCUUACUGGACCGUAACUGACGUUGAGGCUCGAAGGCGUGGGGAGCAAACAGGAUUAGAUACCCUGGUAGUCCACGCGGUAAACGAUGAUCACUAGGUGUCCGUGGGUAUGACCCAUGGGUGCCGCAGCCAACGCAAUAAGUGAUCCACCUGGGGAGUACGUUCGCAAGAAUGAAACUUAAAGGAAUUGACGGGG
rnacentral:rRNA from 1 species